UACAGAGGUGGCAAGCGUUGUUCGGAAUUACUGGGCGUAAAGGGCGCGUAGGCGGCCAUCUAAGUCAGACGUGAAAUCCCCCGGCUUAACCUGGGAACUGCGUCUGAUACUGGACGGCUUGAGUAUGGGAGAGGGAUGUAGAAUUCCAGGUGUAGCGGUGAAAUGCGUAGAUAUCUGGAGGAAUACCGGUGGCGAAGGCGGCAUCCUGGACCAUUACUGACACUGAAAAGCGAAAGCCAGGGGAGCAAACGGG
rnacentral:rRNA from 1 species